ACACGACUACAUUAGAUACCCGGGUAGUCCCAGCCCUAAACGAUGCGCGUUAGGUGUAUCGGUGACCACGAGUCACCGAGGUGCCGAAGGGAACCGUGAAACGUGCCGCCUGGGAAGUACGGUCGCAAGGCUGAAACUUAAAGGAAUUGCGGGGAGCACCACAACGGGUGGAGCCUGCGGUUUAAUUGGACUCAACGCCGGGAAGCUCACCGGAUAAGACAGCGGAAUGAUUGCCGGGCUGAAGACCCUGCAUGACCAGCUG
rnacentral:rRNA from 1 species